rnacentral:hammerhead_ribozyme from 1 species
AUCCAACUGACGAGUCCCAAAUAGAACGAUACGCGCUUUGUCCUGGAU